GAUAAGUAGUAGCCAUGCAUUAUUAUCAAAGGCAUUAGAAAAUAAGACCACCAUCACACAUCAUGUUUCAUUUCCUCUUCUUAUGAAUGGACAUUUUAUUUUUUUUUCCAAUUUUUUUCCCUCCAUUGCUGGCAUCAUCCUUCACAACAACAAGUCACCACGUUGAGGCAGAAGCUGCCAACAACAGAGCCGGUCUUUGCUGCACACAAGCUCUUGCAAUGAGAAGCAAUACACUCGAAAACAGGGAUUCGUUGGAUGCAUUCUUUAUGCUCACUUAUCGCAUAACCUGUUUUCAAAAAUAUAAUAAGAUAAAAAUUUAAACAUUAUCAAGAUGCAGUUUUGGAUAGGUAAAUCUUACCGAAAGGGCUCACUAGGAGAAGCACUAGAAGUAGAGAGCAAAGUGAUGAACCCUUCAUGUUCAAAAUUGAGUGUCAACCCUUCCAAUAAAAACAAAGUUAGUUGUGAAAAAUAAAAAUGUUUCAUGAUAUUUAUGACCCUAAGUCAACAUUUUGUUUAAGAGAAAAUAGGAUUUAAUGUUCUUUGAACAAUUUUCCUAUUUGUUAAGAAAAUAUAAAAGGUAUGUAACGGUGUUUAAAGAAAAAAAAAUAACGAAAAGAAGAAAUAUUUAAUGCAUUUAUUGUAUUUAUAAAGAAAAUAUUAUAUUUAAAAAAAAAAAGGAAAAAAAGGAAAGAAUUAUUUAAUUAUAUUGUCGUAUGUGAUUUACGAUAAAAUAAGAUAAGUUGCGAAAAAGGACAAUAAGCUAUUUGAUUAUGUUGUCGUAAAAGGAAAAUAUUGUCAAAAGAAUUUUGUUAUAAUGGAAGAAGUUCUCAAGUGCUGGUUGGUCUCAAUCUUCAAUAGAAAAAAUAAAAAAUCAGUCAUACUACAAGAUAGUCAUUUUUUUUUUCUUUCGAUCUCAUAUUUUUUGAAUAAAUUAUCAACAAAUUUAGUAAAAGGGAGCAAAAAGUGAAAAUAAACAUCUUAUUCAUUUUAUCAUUAAUUUCUAUAUUUGGAUAACUUAAAUAAAAAUGAAAUAGUACUCAGAAAUAGGAUUUUAAUUGAUCUUUAAUAAGAAGUAUUUUGUUUUUCUUAGUGAAGGAAAUGAACUAGAACAUUUGAACAUUAUAAUGCAUUAAGUUCAAUGACAUUUUAUAAUUCAUUUUAUUUAUUAAGUGAAUAUUAUCAAAAAAAAUUAUUUUAAAAUAAAAAUAUAUAUUUUAAAGUAUGUGCAAGCAUAUUAUCAUCAAUUUAUUUUUAUUCACAUUCCUAAUGUUAUCAUUUAUCAACAUUAAAAUUGAAACAAACAAUCUUAUAUUCUUAGGAUGAUAAGGACAUUUUAGGAAGAAAAAAAUCCAUACCAAAAUGAGAUGAAAAGGAUAUUUUAGGGAAAAAAAAGUCCAUAAAUAACCUUUUAUAUAUAGUGUAGAUAUUUUGAAAAAGUAUGAGGAGAAAUAUGGAUGGAUAUUCAUACUUUUCCUCAAAUGCCAUGGAGAAUAAAAUUUUAUUUAUUUAUAUUACUUAUUAUUAUUAUUAUUUUAAAAAAAAAACCUUGAUUGAAAAAGUUAUAUUUGUGGUUAAAGAUAUUUAACAUAUAUGAAUUAUUAUAUAUUGAAUAUUCAACAUAAUAUGACUUUUUAUUUAGAAACUUUAAAAAUUUUAAUCAUAUAUAUUAUUAAUAAAUAAAUAUAACAUUUUUUAUUAUAAAUUUUAAAUAUUUAAUCAUGAAUAUUAUUAACAAAUAAAUAAUAAUUUCCUUACUAAAUUCUAAAUUGUAGAACAAUUUUGAAGAUAUAUAUAUAUAUAUUUUAAAAAAGUAAAUAUUAAAGUAAAAUAUAAUUUUUAUUUUAAACAAUAUCAUAUCUUAUAAUGUACUAUGAUAUUAGGACAUAGAACAUAUAUGUAUUAUCUCAUGUUUAAUCGAUCAUGAACUAAAAAAUAUACAUUUUAUCUCGUGUUCGAUUGACCAUGGGAUACAAAUGCAUACCUUUAGGUAGGAUUCAUAUUUUAUUAUGAGAUAGAUGGACAGCUUCAUAAAUAAAUAUCACUUUAGGAAAGAGAAUUUAUUUCCCAAUUUUUUUUUUUCUUGAACACAAAUGGAUGGGAAAAUAAAUUUACGGUCUUCUAAUUUUUUUUUUUUCUUUGUAAGAGUUUCUUUCUAACAAGGAUACGUUUGUUGCAUUCUUUAACCUCACUUAUUGCAUAACCUGUUUCAAAUAUAUAGUAAGAUAAAAAUGAGAACAUUAUCAACAUCCUCUAAGAAGCAUUUCAUGUGAUUUAGCAUUAUUAUGAAUAUUUCGAUAAGGGUAAAGAAACAAGUUUUGGAUAGGUAAAUCAUACUCAAAGAGCUCACUAGGAGAAGCACUAGAAGCAUAGAGCAAAGAGAAGUUGAAUAUUAACCCUCUCAAGAAAAAUCGAAUUACUUGUGAAAAUUAAUAAUAUUUUAUGAUAUUUAUAAUAGUAAGUCAAAGGGAAAAUAGGAUUUAACGCUUAAAUUUUAAAUAAUUUUCCUAUUUAUUAAGGAAAUAUAAAAUGUAUUUGACGACUAUUCGUAAGAAAAAAAUGAAAGAAAUAUUUAAUACAUUCCUCGUAUUAGUAAAUAAAAUAUUAUAUUUAAAAAAGACAUGAAAAAAAGAAGAAAUUAAUUAUCUGAUUAGGCCUAUUUCCAUAUUUUAUUUAUUUCAUAUAACAUGAAAUAAGAUAAAAAUGUGAUAGUAUAUUUUAUUUUAUAUUUGAUUUAUCACGAAAUAAGAUAAAUUAUUAAAAAAGAAAAAAAAUUGCUUUGAUCAUGUUAUUGUAUGAGUUGUCCUUAUCAUUCCCACACCUUAAAGGCCAUAUUUUUUUGGUAGCAUAUAUUUUUUUAUUUUCUAUUUUUAUCACAUCACCUAUUUUUAGAAAUACAAUUUGGUAAAAAUAACAACAUUAUUCUAGUUUUUUUGCACCAUUUUGAAUAAUAAUAAUAAAAAGUGGGGGAACAUUUUAUUUUAUUUAGCAUCUUUCAUAAAUAAAUAAAUAAAUAAAUUUGGAGAGAUUAUUUACGUUAAAAAACAUUAUAUUUGUUUAUUUUUUAUCAUCCAUCAUCCAAAAUGAUAAAAAAAAAAACUUGAAUUAUGAUUAAGGAUGAAAAUAUCAGUAAUCAUAAAUAUAUCGAAACUUUGAUUUUAUGGAUAUAUCAUAUAAAUUAAAAAUAUAUCGGUGGAUAUUUUGACGCAAAUAUCGGUGGACCUAAAGUUGAUUAAAACUUAUAUAAAUGUAAGAAAAAAACUCUUAAAAAUGAAAUUAUAAGUAUAAUAAAUAUUUUAAAGUUGUUUUGUUGAAGAAAUUGAUAUAUGUAUGAUAUAAUUUAUCAUAUUUGAUAAUAAUAUUAUGCACAUCAAUUAAAAAAAUAUGAAUUUUAUAAGUGUAUAUUUGUUAUUAAAUUAUAUUAAAUAUUAUUUAACAAUAAUAUUAUGAUCUUUGAUUAUAAUAUAUCUAAUUGUAAAAUAUAUUUAAUAUUAAAAUUAUGAUCCAUUGAAUCCAACUAUAUUAAACGGUAUAAAAUAAAUGAUGAUAUAUAUAUAUAUAUAUAUAUAUAUAUAUAUCAGGUUUUGAUGAUAACAAACCAUUGUUAAGUUACUAAUUGAUUUGAAUUAUAAAGAAUUUCAUGUAUUAAUUUGGAAAUUCAUCAAAAAACCAAAUUAUGCAAGAUCAAGACCUUAAGAAGAUCUUUAAUCAUAGGAAACAUAUAUAAGGUGAAUGCAUGAGUGCACUUAGGAUUUACAUAUCAUUUCAUGUAUUUUUGAAAAACUCGGUUUUUUCUCUAAAGUUACAAUUUCAUCAAAACUUGAGUUUUAUCAAAUGAACUUUAGACAAAUCACUUCAAAAUUGGCAUAUUAAUUUACCUAAAAAUCUUACCUAAGUGUUAGAAGAGAAAAAAUCAGAAAAAGAUAGGUUUUCGGGCUUAAAAUGGUGAAUCGAUUGAGGUACUGGCCAACCAGCUUAACUGGCUAAGAAUACUAGUCGACCGAUUCCCUCUUCCUGGUCGAGGUUCGGUCGAAGAGUGCAAAAAACACACUCUUUCUUUCAGUAGUUUUUCCUUCCUUAUCGAGGCAUUUGUCUUUCCUGUCGACCUCUGAUCGAGGUCCAGUUAAGGGUAACGGUCACCUACCAAACAUUAAAUGCUUCAACGGCUAGUGAAUCAGUCGACCCGCAACUUGAUCGAUUAAGGCUGCUUUUUGGUUUUUUUGACUCCUGAGGUUAGAAACCUAUAAAUAGAUAGCUCUAUUUCAUUUAUGAGCAUAAGAACACCUACUUUUAUUUGUUUACCCACUUGUUCUUACCUUAAAAGCUCUCAUUUCUUUUCUUGGUGCAUUAAAUUCCCAUUUGCAUAUCAUUUAGUACACCUUUGUGAUUCAUCCUAGCCUUAAGUUGUACUUGAGCAUUUGUUGAGUUAGGUUGAGAGAUUCAUACCUAUUAAUUGAGGGUUAAAGCCUUAAAGUGAGUUGAAACUUGAAGAGAUUGUGUAAGAGCCCAUUGGAGCCAAAAUCCAAGUGUAAAUGUGAUUAGAAGGUUGGUUGAAACUUCAAGUUAGUGGAACCCUUACUCGGUUAGGAGCUUGAGGAGAGUAGACGUAAACAAAGAAGUGUCGAACCACUAUAAAAUCUGAGUUUGAUUUCUCUAACUCUAUCUCUUUAUAUGUGCUUUUCUUGUGUUUAAAUUUGUUGUGUUUAAUUUUUUUAAAAAAAAAAAUCCAAUUCACUCCCCUCUUUGGUGUUUUUCUCAUUUAAGAUUAACUUUUAUUUUCUCAUAUAUUAAUGAUAUUAAAAACAAAGAAAAUUAUCAAGAUAAUUUUUAUAUUUUUGGUAAUCAAUUAAAUGAUUUUUUUAUUUAAUUAUAAAAUAAUUGUAAUUAAUUUGUUUUUUAAAAUAUUCUUUCAAUAUUUUGUUUAUAUGAUGACUUUUAGUAUAUAUACAUUUGAUGUAAUAUAUUUAAUAAAGGGUGAACUUGUCCCAAUGGUCGGCUAAAGUUGGUGGUCAACUUUUUGUUUGGGAUUCAAGUGAGCUUUGAUCACUAUCGACCCGUUUUGACCAUGUUGAUUACCUUGAAAUAUCGGGAAAUAUAUACAAAAAUCUUGAUAAAUGAUUGAAAUAUCGAUACCUCCAUUUUUCUGCCCUAUAUAUCGAGGUUGAUCGAAACUCAAUAUCAAUAUUUGGACUAUAUAUUACCGAAAUAUUGCCAUAUUUUAAUCCUAAUUAUGAUUUUGAAUAUUACUACUUAUUGUUGUUUUGAAAAAAGGAAUUUAAUAUGAAGAAACUCUCAAGUGUUCGCUGGUCUCAAUCUUUAUAGGAAUAAGAAAGAAAGAAAAAAAAACAAUGUUUUAUUUCUUAGGAAUUUAUCUAUGAAUUUGGGACUAAUUUAAAAUGGAAUUUCUCCCGAAUUAAGAAUACAAAUUAUAAGAUAAGUUAGUACUACAAGGCAAUCAAAAUUUUAUUUUCUUUUUCUAAUUCUCUUAAUAAAUAUAAUAAGGACAUGUUUGGUAUGAGAGAAUAAAAAAUGGAAAUGGACUUGCCAUUCAUUUACUUAAAUGAUAACAGAAAAAUAAUUAAAAAUAAUUCCAAUAAUAUAUAUAUACUCAAAAGAUAUUCAUUUAAAAUGAAAUAAAAAUAUGCAAGAAUAUUUUAUAAAAUUUACAUGUACUAUGAAUCAUAAUUUCCUUUCAUAUUUAUUUUCAUCCAUUUUUACAAUUCCAAAGUUAUUUUAACCCAUGUAUCCAAAUGGCCCGUAAAACAAAAAAAGACAAAAUGAAGAAGAGAAUUAUGCAAUGAACUUAACAUAUCAUAUUCAAUUGAAAAUACAAACUUAUAUCUUAUGAUCCAAUUCCUUUUAAUUAGGCAUGGCAUGAGAUAAGUCCUUUAUCUUUGGAAAGUGACCAAUCAUGUACCCUCAACUUGGAAAUUCUAUUUUAUACCUCUUCAUCUAGCCUUAUUUUUAGAACUUUUAAUUGCCUAAAAUUAUUUUCUUGUAAGAGUUUUAAUGUCAAAAACAUUUUAGUUAUAUUUAAUCCUUAGAAAAUUUGAAUGAAAAUGUAAAUGAAAGAAACUAAAGAGGAAAAAUAUAUUAAAAAAGAAAUAAAAAAUGAAUUUAAAAUUAAUAAAUUAUAUUUAUAUGCUCUUUUAAAUUUAUUUUAUUUAUUUUAAUUCUUUUAUAUAAAGAUUAACAAUAUAAAAAUAUAUAACUUUUUAAUUAAUUUUAUUUUUAUUUGACUUAUUUAUUUAUUUUUAUAAUAAAAUCAAACAUAAAAAAAAUCAUUUUCUUUAUUAUUUUUUGUUUCUUUCUCUAGUAUAUUUUAGGAAUUAAACAAAGCUGCGGUAUAUUUCAUAGACAAAUAAUUUUCUUUUAUGCCAAACACUACAAAGAAAAAAAAGAAGAAAAGAAAAGAUAAUAAAUUAUGAUGAUAUUAAUAUAUAUCGUUAUUACCCAAAGCAUUACAACAUGUCUCCAUCAUCACACAUCAUAUUCACUUUUCACCGUUAUUUUCCUGUAUAGGCAAAUAUUAGAAUAUCUUCAGCAAGAAAAUAAUUUUCCUCCAAACCAAACAACACCAAAAGAGAAAGAUAAUAAGUAGAAGUCAUAUAUUAUUAUCAAAGGCAUUAGAAAAUAGGUCCACCAUCACACAUCAUGUUUCAUUUCCUCAAAUUAUGGAUGGGUAUUUUAUUUUUUCCAUCCUUUUUCCCUCUAUUGCUGGCAUCAUCCUUCACAGCAACAAGUCACCUCGUUGAGGCAGUGUCCGCCAACAGCGCCACACAAACUGCUGCAUACGAAACCAAUACACUCAGGAACAAGGUGUCGUUUCUUGCAUUCUUGCUGCUGACUUAUCGCAUAAUCUGUCCUAAAAAAUAUAACAAGAUCAAAAUGAAAACAUUUUCAACAUCAAAAUACAAGUUUUUUCGUCUAUUUUGAUAAGGGUAAAGAAACAAGUAUUGGAUAGGUAAAUCAUACCGAUAGAGCUCACUAGGAGAAGCACUAGAAGUAGAGAGCAAAGAGAUGAACCCUUCAUGUUCAAAAUUG
rnacentral:lncRNA from 1 species